rnacentral:rRNA from 1 species
UAACGCGUGAGGAACCUGCCUUUCAGAGGGGGACAACAGUUGGAAACGACUGCUAAUACCGCAUGACACAUUGGGGUUGCAUGGCCCUGAUGUCAAAGAUUUAUCGCUGAAAGAUGGCCUCGCGUCUGAUUAGCUAGUUGGUGAGGUAACGGCCCACCAAGGCGACGAUCAGUAGCCGGACUGAGAGGUUGACCGGCCACAUUGGGACUGAGAUACGGCCCAG